rnacentral:rRNA from 1 species
UACGAAGGGGCUAGCGUUGCUCGGAAUCACUGGGCGUAAAGGGUGCGUAGGCGGGUCUUUUAAGUCAGGGGUGAAAUCCUGGAGCUCAACUCCAGAACUGCCUUUGAUACUGAGGAUCUUGAGUACGGGAGAGGUGAGUGGAACUGCGAGUGUAGAGGUGAAAAUUCGUAGAUAUUCGCAAGAACACCAGUGGCGAAGGCGGCUCACUGGCCCGUUACUGACGCUGAGGCACGAAAGCGUGGGGAGCAACAGGG